UUUGAACGCUGGCGGCAGGCCUAACACAUGCAAGUCGAGCGCGAAAGUUCUUCGGAAUGAGUAAAGCGGCGAACGGGUGGGUAAUACAUGGGAAUCUGCCUGGUAGUGGGGGACAACGUCUCGAAAGGGACGCUAAUACCGCAUACGCCCUACGGGGGAAAGGGGGGGAUCUUCGGACCUCUCGCUAUCAGAUGAGCCCAUGUCAGAUUAGCUAGUUGGUAGGGUAAAGGCCUACCAAGGCGACGAUCUGUAACUGGUCUGAGAGGAUGAUCAGUCACACUGGAACUGAGACACGGUCCAGACUCCUACGGGAGGCAGCAGUGGGGAAUAUUGGACAAUGGGCGCAAGCCUGAUCCAGCCAUGCCGCGUGUGUGAAGAAGGCCCUAGGGUUGUAAAGCACUUUCAGUGGGGAGAAAGGUUAUUCACCUAAUACGUGAGUAAAUUGAUGCUACCCACAGAAGAAGCACCGGCUAACUCCGUGCCAGCCGCCGCAGUAAGAC
rnacentral:rRNA from 1 species